GACGAACGCUGGAGGCGUGCUUAACACAUGCAAGUCGAACGAUGAAAUGGAGCUUGCUCCAUGGAUUAGUGGCGAACGGGUGAGUAACACGUGAAUAACCUGCCCUUAAUUUUGGAAUAACCCAGGGAAACCUGGGCUAAUACCGGAUAAGUAAACCUGUGGCAUCACAUGGUUUUGGAAAGUUUUUCGAUUAAGGAUGGAUUCGCGGCCUAUCGGCUUGUUGGUGAGGUAAUGGCUCACCAAGGCGACGACGGGUAGCCGGCCUGAGAGGGUGAACGGCCACACUGGGACUGAGACACGGCCCAGACUCCUACGGGAGGCAGCAGUGGGGAAUAUUGCGCAAUGGACGAAAGUCUGACGCAGCGACGCCUCGUGAGGGACGAAGGUCUUCGGAUUGAAAACCUCUUUCAGCAGGGACGAAGCGAAAGUGACGGUACCUGCAGAAGAAGCACCGGCUAACUAUGUGCCAGCAGCCGCCGUAA
rnacentral:rRNA from 1 species